rnacentral:rRNA from 1 species
AAUUUUGUACAAUGGGGGCGACGCUGAUCCAGCCAUCCCGCGUGUGCUAUGAAGGCCUUCGGGUUGUAAAGCACACUUGGCAGGGAAGAAAAGGCCCUGGUUAAUACCUGGAGCUGCUGACGGUACCUGCAGAAUAAGCACCGGCUAACUACGUGCCAGCAGCCGCGGUAAUACGUAGGGUGCAAGCGUUAAUCGGAAUUACUGGGUGUAAAGGGUGCGCAGGCGGUUUGGAAAGAAGGAUGUGAAGUCCCGGUGCUUAACCUCGGAACUGCAUUCUGAACUGCCAGGAUAGAGUAUGUCAGAGGGGGGUAGAAUACAGCGUGUAGCAGUGAAAUGCGUAGAGAUGCGGAGGAAUACCGAUGGCGAAGGCAGCCCCCUGGGAUAAUACUGACGCUCAGGCACGAAAGCGUGGGGAGCAAACA